AAAUUAGAAACAAUUAUUUGUAAUCAGUUUCGACCUGAUAUUUUAGUUAUUUACAUAACUCUAAUUUU
rnacentral:tRNA from 1 species